GGAAGUAAAAGUCGUAAUAAGGUCUCCGUUGGUGAACCAGCGGAGGGAUCAUUACAGGACUCGCAAGACUCCUUCGCCCUGUGAACCUCACUACAAGCACGUUGCUUCGGCGGGUGUCCCGGCGGGGGUUUUCCCUCGCUGGGGCGCACAGCCCGCCGGCAGCCUACUAUACUCUGUCUCUUUGCGUUGGCAUCUCGAGAAAAAACAAACAAGUUAAAACUUUCAACAACGGAUCUCUUGGUUCUG
rnacentral:misc_RNA from 1 species